rnacentral:rRNA from 1 species
UGGGGAAUAUUGGACAAUGGGCGAAAGCCUGAUCCAGCAAUGCCGCGUGUGUGACGAAGGCCUGCGGGUUGUAAAGCACUUUCGUUGGGGAAGAAAUGCUCAGAGCUAAUACCUCUGAGAGUUGACGUUACCCAAAGAAGAAGCACCGGCUAACUCUGUGCCAGCAGCCGCGGUAAUACAGAGGGUGCAAGCGUUAAUCGGAGUUACUGGGCGUAAAGGGCGCGUAGGUGGAUAUUUAAGUCGGAUGUGAAAUCCCCGGGCUUAACCUGGGAAUUGCAUUCGAUACUGGAUAUCUAGAGUAUGGUAGAGGAAAGCGGAAUUCCCGGUGUAGCGGUGAAAUGCGUAGAUAUCGGGAAGAACAUCAGGGCGAAGGCGGCUUUCUGGACCAAUACUGACACUGAGGCGCGAAAGCGUGGGGAGCAAACAGG